UCCCAUAUGGUAUAGUGGUUAGGAUUUGGCGCUUUCACCGCAAAGGCCCGGGUUCAAUUACCGGUGUGGGAA
rnacentral:tRNA from 1 species